AAUCGCAGUUACUUCUGCGCAGUCUCAUUUUCGUUCGAUUAGGGUUUUUUCUCAACAAGUUCUCUCCCGUUUUCAACCGCAAUGAGGGCCAAGUGGAAGAAGAAGCGUAUGAGGAGGUUGAAGAGGAAGCGCCGAAAGAUGAGACAGAGAUCCAAGUAGAUUGCGUCUUCAGCCAUCGUCGUCUGCUCUUAGUUUUGUUUUUCCCUUUCGUGUUGUUUUUAUUUUGUUAUUUAAUCAGACUUUUCAGCAAGAGAGUAGUAUCUGUUUCUCUCUCGUUUUUGCUGUUAUGA